ACGAGACCUCAGGUGA
rnacentral:rRNA from 1 species